UACGGAGGGUGCAAGCGUUAUCCGGAUUUACUGGGUUUAAAGGGUGCGUAGGUGGGUCUGUAAGUCAGUGGUGAAAUCUCCGAGCUUAACUCGGAAACUGCCAUUGAUACUAUAGGUCUUGAAUUAUCUGGAGGUAAGCGGAAUAUGUCAUGGUAGCGGUGAAAUGCUUAGAUAUGACAUAGAACACCAAUUGCGAAGGCAGCUUACUACGGAUUGAUUGACACUGAGGCACGAAAGCGUGGGGAUCAAAUAGG
rnacentral:rRNA from 1 species